rfam:Gossypium hirsutum cultivar TM-1 unplaced genomic scaffold scaffold1036.1, whole genome shotgun sequence
AAACCAUGCAUCAGGCAUUUUCUAAUUAGUUCCUUGAAACGCUCCCAUGCUUUGUACAAUGUCUCAUCUUUAGAUUGCCUGAACGAUGUAAUGUCAUUCCUAAGCUU